GUGAGCUACAAAAUACCUGAAGAAAAAGGCACUUAUCCUGGAGUUCAUAUAAAGAAAUCCUGAACGAAGAUCGAAGUGGCUGAGAUGAAGGAAACCAAACGUAUUACAUUCCUUCAAGACUGCUGAAGUCCCUGUGAUAGACGGGGAUCGGCACUUCCUCAUCAAACAGAUCCUGGAUAAUCUACCCGAUGAAUAUCUACAUCCAGCCCUGAAUCAUCUACCUGUGUCGGCACGGAGAGAACAACGGCAACCUGGUGGGACAGCUGGGCCGUUAUACAGGCCUCUCGCCGCGAGACAGACAGUUUUUGGUGGCUAAACCCAAGUCUGCAGUCCUUGAAGAAUU